GAUCAUGGCUCAGGAUGAACGCUGGCGGCGUGCUUAACACAUGCAAGUCGAACGGAAAGGCUCCUGCUUGCAGGGGUACUCGAGUGGCGAACGGGUGAGUAACACGUGGGUGAUCUGCCCUGCACUUCGGGAUAAGCCUGGGAAACUGGGUCUAAUACCGGAUAGGACGAUGGUUUGGAUGCCAUUGUGGUAAAGUUUUUCGGUGUGGGAUGAGCUCGCGGCCUAUCAGCUUGUUGGU
rnacentral:rRNA from 1 species